rnacentral:rRNA from 3 species
CAGUCGAGCGGAACGAGUUAUCUGAACCUUCGGGGGACGAUAACGGCGUCGAGCGGCGGACGGGUGAGUAAUGCCUAGGAAAUUGCCCUGAUGUGGGGGAUAACCAUUGGAAACGAUGGCUAAUACCGCAUAAUGCCUACGGGCCAAAGAGGGGGACCUUCGGGCCUCUCGCGUCAGGAUAUGCCUAGGUGGGAUUAGCUAGUUGGUGAGGUAAGGGCUCACCAAGGCGACGAUCCCUAGCUGGUCUGAGAGGAUGAUCAGCCACACUGGAACUGAGACACGGUCCAGACUCCUACGGGAGGCAGCAGUGGGGAAUAUUGCACAAUGGGCGCAAGCCUGAUGCAGCCAUGCCGCGUGUGUGAAGAAGGCCUUCGGGUUGUAAAGCACUUUCAGUCGUGAGGAAGGUAGUGUAGUUAAUAGCUGCAUUAUUUGACGUUAGCGACAGAAGAAGCACCGGCUAACUCCGUGCCAGCAGC